UAGAUCCUACGGGAGGCAGCAGUAGGGAAUUUUCGUCAAUGGGCGCAAGCCUGAACGAGCAAUGCCGCGUGAACGAGGAAGGUCUUCGGAUCGUAAAGUUCUGUUGAAGGGGAAAAAGAGCGGAGAGAGGAAAUGGUCUCCGAUUGAUAUUACCCUUCGAGGAAGUCACGGCUAACUACGUGCCAGCAGCCGCGGUAAUACGUAGGUGGCGAGCGUUAUCCGGAUUUAUUGGGUUUAAAGGGUGCGCAGGCGGCGAGUUAAGUCAGCGGUAAAAUUUCGGGGCUCAACCCCGACGAGCCGUUGAA
rnacentral:rRNA from 1 species